rnacentral:rRNA from 1 species
CCUACGGGAGGCAGCAGUGGGGAAUAUUGUACAAUGGGCGCAAGCCUGAUGCAGCCAUACCGCGUGUGUGAAGAAGGCCUUAGGGUUGUAAAGCACUUUCAGCGAGGAGGAAGGGUUCAGCGUUAAUAGCACUGUGCAUUGACGUUACUCGCAGAAGAAGCACCGGCUAACACCGUGCCAGCAGCCGCGGUAAU